AGCUCACUGGUCUAAACAAGGGUUCCUGCGCCGAAAAUGUAACGGGGCUAAGCCACGAGCCGAAGCUUCGGAUUCACUUCGCAAGAGGUGAGUGGUAGCGGAGCGUUCCCUAGGCCUGCGAAGCGAUACCUGUGAGGGGUCGUGGAGGUAUGGGAAGUGUGAAUGCUGACAUGAGUAACGACAAAGAGUGUGAAAGACACUCUCGCCGAAAGUCCAAGGGUUCCUGCGUAAAGUUAAUCUGCGCAGGGUUACCCGGCCCCUAACGCGAGGCCGAAAGGCG
rnacentral:rRNA from 1 species